CACGUAGGGGCCAAGCGUUGUCCGGAUUUAUUGGGCGUAAAGAGCUCGUAGGCGGUUCGGUAAGUCGGGUGUGAAACCUCCAGGCUCAACCUGGAGACGCCACCCGAUACUGCUGUGACUUGAGUCCGGUAGGGGAGCGUGGAAUUCCUGGUGUAGCGGUGAAAUGCGCAGAUAUCAGGAGGAACACCAGCGGCGAAGGCGGCGCUCUGGGCCGGAACUGACGCUGAGGAGCGAAAGCGUAGGUAGCAAACAGG
rnacentral:rRNA from 1 species